rfam:Patagioenas fasciata monilis isolate BTP2013 Sc31e1R_92, whole genome shotgun sequence.
GUGGCUGUCUUCAGCGCUGGCUGCAUCUGCCAGAAGUGGAAUGCAGCUGUAAGCAGCCACAAACAGUAAAGCAAAUGGUUCCUGCCGACAGUGUCUGUCAAGCUAUCAGAUUUUUCUGUGCGAUGGUUCCAUACAUU